rnacentral:rRNA from 1 species
AGUGAACGCUGGCGGUAGGCCUAACACAUGCAAGUCGAACGGCAGCACAGUAAGAGCUUGCUCUUACGGGUGGCGAGUGGCGGACGGGUGAGGAAUACAUCGGAAUCUACUUUUUCGUGGGGGAUAACGUAGGGAAACUUACGCUAAUACCGCAUACGACCUACGGGUGAAAGCAGGGGAUCUUCGGACCUUGCGCGAUUGAAUGAGCCGAUGUCGGAUUAGCUAGUUGGCGGGGUAAAGGCCCACCAAGGCGACGAUCCGUAGCUGGUCUGAGAGGAUGAUCAGCCACACUGGAACUGAGACACGGUCCAGACUCCUACGGGAGGCAGCAGUGGGGAAUAUUGGACAAUGGGCGCAAGCCUGGUCCAGCCAUACCGCGCGGGUGAAGAAGGCCUUCGGGUUGUAAAGCCCUUUUGUUGGGAAAGAAAAGCAGCAGGUUAAUACCCCGCUGUUCUGACGGUACCCAAAGAAUAAGCACCGGCUAACUUCGUG